rnacentral:rRNA from 1 species
GACGGAGGGUGCUAGCGUUGUUCGGAAUGACUGGGCGUAAAGGGUGCGUAGGCGGUUUUAUAAGUCAGAUGUGAAAGCCCCGGGCUUAACCCUGGAAUGGCAUUUGAUACUGUAGGACUAGAGACUGGAAGAGGAGAGCGGAAUUCCUAGUGUAGAGGUGAAAUUCGUAGAUAUUAGGAGGAACACCAGAGGCGAAGGCGGCUUUCUGGUCCAGUUCUGACGCUGAGGCACGAAAGCGUGGGGAUCAAACAGG